ensembl:lncRNA
GUUAUAUAGCUCUAUCUAUAUAUCUGUCUCUCUCUCUCUCUAUAUAUAUAUAUAUAUAGUUAUAUAGCUCUAUCUAUAUAUCUGUCUCUCUCUCUCUAUAUAUAUAUAUAGUUAUAUAGCUCUAUCUAUAUAUCUGUAUGUAUUGUUUUUCUGUACCUUACCAUAUUGUACAUAUGCAGAUGAUGUGAACAGUGUCUUUAUUGUUUGAUUUAUGGAUGUCUUUACGUUCUACCUCUCCAGUCCCCCUUCUGUCUGUCAAUCAAUAUUGUUGUUGAUUUUAUGUUUAUUAUUGUUAUUAUUCUAUUGUUGUGGAAACAUUCCAGUGAAGGAAUUCCUGUUUAUUUGAAUGUAAAAAUAAUAUAAUUUGAAUGCAGGAAGCAGAAAGGGUUGAACUUUAUACUCUUAACUGUAUACAAGGGGGAACGAUAAUGUUUUUCACUCUGUGAUCUCAUCAUUUAUGACCAAAUACAUGUUUACUACUAUGCCACCAGGAAUUCGUUUCUGAAGAAAAUAGAAUAAACAAUGUGAUUAUCAUUAUAAAUUAAUGUGAUUAUCAUUAUAAAUUAAUGUGAUUAUCAUUAUAAAUUAAUGUGAAAUCAAACAUAUUUUUUGAUUUUUUAAAAUUAUUUUUUUUAGCUUACAGCAGUGGAGAAAUGUAGCCAACAAAAUUAUACUUGAAUCUAUUUAGUAAAUCUAAUUCUUAAAUGCAUUACUAUACUAGUCGGGAAAAAAUACUUGAUUUUAGAAUUUCGUUGUUAUUAGAAUGUUUUUUCCCCCAAGGUGGCAGUGCCCAAGGUGUCAGUGCCCAAGGUGUCAGUGCCCAAGGUGUCAGUGCCCAAGGUGGCAGUACCCAAGGUGGCAGUACCCAAGGUGGCAGUACCCAAGGUGGCAGUGCCCAAGGUGGCAGUACCCAAGGUGGCAGUGCCCAAGGUGGCAGUGCCCAAGGUGGCAGUACCCAAGGUGGCAGUACCCAAGGUGGCAGUGCCCAAGGUGUCAGUGCCCAAGGUGUCAGUGCCCAAGGUGUCAGUGCCCAAGGUGUCAGUAGUAACAACUAUCUCUGUCUUACAGUGUGAGAGCCGACCUGGUUCGGUCCUAUUCUGUAGAGGUGAGGUAGCUAGGGAAGUCCUCCUAUAGGAGACCUAGGACCACCCUGCCAUGACCAGAGAGACAGAGUCUGCAUCCCAAAAUGGCACCCUAUUUCCUAUAUAGUGCACUCGUCCCCAUAGGCCCUAGUCAAAAGUAGUGCACUGUAAAUGGAAUAGUGUGCCAUUUGGGAUGGAGCUUAUUGAUCUCAAAAUGUUAUUUUAUUCAUGUUGUUUUUUUCCUCAAAACAUUCCAAUCGCUUAACUCGUCUCGAAUGAUGUCAUCAUUGUGAUUGCAAAUGGCUGUUGUGAUUGUUGACAAUUGUUAUUGUUUUCUCGAUUUAAAUUUUUAUAAUGUUUUACCCUUUUUCUCAUGAUUUCUUGUUACGGUUUAAAUCUUCAAACAUGUUGAAUUAAUGAUGUCAUUUCCGUUUCGUUUGAUCAGUUGUGAAUUUGCACUUACCACUUCGAUCUGCUUGUGAGUGUACAGUAGAGUAUGUGGUGUGUGUGUGUCUGACUGUGUCGUAAUGCUGUAGUUUUCAGUCGGUUAGUGUGACCUCCGUAUGGCAACAGGUAGCCUAGUGGUUAAGAGUGUUUGGGCCAGUGACUGUGUCGUAAUGCUGUAGUUUUCAGUCGGUUAGUGUGACCUCCGUAUGGCAACAGGUAGCCUAGUGGUUAAGAGUGUUUGGGCCAGUAACCAAAAGGUUAUUGGUUCGAAUCCCUGAGCCGACUAGGGGAAAAACAUAUGUUGACGUUUCUUUGAGCGAAGCACUUAACCCUAACUGCUCUGGAUAAGAGCGUCUGCGAAAUGACUAACAUGUAUAUUUCUGUCUGAUUGGAUAAGAUGCUAAAUGACUAAUGUGUAUAUUUCUGUCUGAUUGGAACACCAAAAUAAGACAUUUUAGAGUAUAUAUAUAUAUAUAUAUAUACACUCUUCUUUUUUUUAAAGCACAAAGGAAUAUUAGGCACAAGAUCACAUCAAAACUCACUAUGAUACUAGUCAUACAAAGAUAAUAUCCUAUCACUGAAACACUAGACAACACAAGGCAAUGUGGGGGAGAGAGAGGAGAGAAACAGAGAGAGGGGGGGAGAGAGGUAAGAAACAGAGAGAGAAGGGAAAAGAUAAUAUCCUAUCACUGAAACACUAGACAACUCAAGGCAAUGUGGGGGAGAGAGAGGAGAGAAACAGAGAGAGAGGUAAGAAACAGAGAGAGAAGGGAAAAGAUAAUAUCCUAUCACUGAAACACUAGACAACUCAAGGCAAUGUGGGGGAGAGAGAGGAGAGAAACAGAGAGAGAGGUGAGAAACAGAGAGAGAAGGGAAAAGAUAAUAUCCUCUCACUGAAACACUAGACAACACAAGGCAAUGAGCUCUUGGUGUUGGAACAGUGUCAUCUUGGAAUGAGAAAUGCAUCAUUUUGAACACGGGGUAUCACACCAUGUAUUUACCAGUAGUAACUCUCUAAGACAGAGUCAGCUCUACAGAGACACCCGUAAGGCCUGGGGGCUGCUAUCACACCAUGUGUACCAGUAGUAACUCUCUAAGACAGAGUCAGCUCUACAGAGACACCCGUAAGGCCUGGGGGCUGCUAUCACACCAUGUGUACCAGUAGUAACUCUCUAAGACAGAGUCAGCUCUACAGAGACACCCGUAAGGCCUGGGGGCUGCUAUCACACCAUGUGUACCAGUAGUAACUCUCUAAGACAGAGUCAGCUCUACAGAGACACCCGUAAGGCCUGGGGGCUGUGAGACCUCUCUCUGUUCUCUGUAUUCCUCCAAGAGGAAAUGCUGUUGUGCUUUAAAGGACUUUGAGGGCUCCAUCCAAUCCGUACCGCGGUAGUUCAGCGCUAUGCUGGGAUUGAAAUGUGAUGGUUUACCAUGAAUGCAUUAUUUCACGAAUUAGGGAACAUUGCCUUUUUAAAUUUCAAUUGCGCUAUAGUGCUGAAUUUACGCAAUACAGUUACAAUGCAUCAUCCCUAAAUAUAACAUGACAAUGGACUGACAGAGGGGGUGUCCCUACACAACGCCCCACACCCCCACUAAUGUCAGUCCCUACACAACGCCCCACACCCCCUAUAAUGUCAGUCCCUCUAAUGUCAGUCCCUACACCACACCCCCUCUGUCAGUCCCCACACCCCCUCUGUCAGUCCCUACACAACGCCCCACACCCCCACUAAUGUCAGUCCCUACACAACGCCCCACACCCCCUAUAAUGUCAGUCCCUCUAAUGUCAGUCCCUACACCACACCCCCUCUGUCAGUCCCCACACCCCCUCUGUCAGUCCCUACACAACGCCCCACACCCCCACUAAUGUCAGUCCCUACACAACGCCCCACACCCCCUCUAAUGUCAGUCCCUCUAAUGUCAGUCCUUACACCACACCCCCUCUGUCAGUCCCCACACCCCUCUGUCAGUCCCUACACCCCCUCUGUCAGUCCCUACACCCCCUCUGUCAGUCCCUACACCCCCUCUGUCAGUCCCCACACCCCCUCUGUCAGUCCCUAAACCCCCUCUGUCAGUCCCUACACCCCCUGUCAGUCCCUACACCCCCUCUGUCAGUCCCUACACCCCUCUGUCAGUCCCUACACCCCUGUCAGUCCCUACACCACACCCCCUCUGUCAGUCCCUACACCCCCUCUGUCAGUCCCUACACCCCCUCUGUCAGUCCCCACACCCCCUCUGUCAGUCCCUACACCCCAUAAGAAGAUGAAGAAAAUGAAAAACACAAAUAAGAUGAUAUUGUAUUCCCUGUUAUUCACUGUUUGCUGUUUAAUAAAAUGAGAUGUCCUA